rnacentral:rRNA from 1 species
UACGGAGGAUGCGAGCGUUAUCCGGAUUUAUUGGGUUUAAAGGGUGCGCAGGCGGGAUGCCAAGUCAGCGGUAAAAAUGCGGUGCUCAACGCCGUCGAGCCGUUGAAACUGGCGUUCUUGAGUGGGCGAGAAGUAUGCGGAAUGCGUGGUGUAGCGGUGAAAUGCAUAGAUAUCACGCAGAACUCCGAUUGCGAAGGCAGCAUACCGGCGCCCAACUGACGCUGAGGCACGAAAGCGUGGGGAUCAAACAGG